CGUUAACGCUGGCGGUAGGCCUAACACAUGCAAGUCGAACGGCAGCACAGUAAGAGCUUGCUCUUACGGGUGGCGAGUGGCGGACGGGUGAGGAAUACAUCGGAAUCUACUUUUUCGUGGGGGAUAACGUAGGGAAACUUACGCUAAUACCGCAUACGACCUACGGGUGAAAGCAGGGGAUCUUCGGACCUUGCGCGAUUGAAUGAGCCGAUGUCGGAUUAGCUAGUUGGCGGGGUAAAGGCCCACCAAGGCGACGAUCCGUAGCUGGUCUGAGAGGAUGAUCAGCCACACUGGAACUGAGGCACGGUCCAGACUCCUACGGGAGGCAGCAGUGGGGAAUAUGGGACAAUGGGCGCAAGCCUGAUCCAGCCAUACCGCGUGGGUGAAGAAGGCCUUCGGGUUGUAAAGCCCUUGUGUGGGGAAAGAAAAGCAGCAGGUUAAUACCCCGCUGUUCUGACGGUACCCAAAGAAUAAGCACCGGCUAACUUCG
rnacentral:rRNA from 1 species